AACGAACGCGGGCGGCAGGCUUAACACAUGCAAGUCGAGCGCCGAGCAAGGGGAGCGGCAGACGGGGGAGGAAAGCGCGGGAACGUACCCUUUGCUACGGAAUAGCUCCGGGAAAAGGGAAUUAAUACCGUAUGUGCCCUACGGGGGAAAGAGUUAUCGGCAAAGGAUCGGCCCGCGUUGGAUUAGCUAGUUGGUGGGGUAAUGGCCUACCAAGGCGACGAUCCAUAGCUGGCCUGAGAGGAUGAUCAGCCACAUUGGGACUGAGACACGGCCCAAACUCCGACGGGAGGCAGCAGUGUGGAAUAUUGGACAAUGGGCGCAAGCCUGAUCCAGCCAUGCCGCGUGAGUGAUGAAGGCCUUAGGGUUGUAAAGCUCUUUCACCGGAGAAGAUAAUGACGGUAUCCGGAGAAGAAGCCCCGGCUAACUUCGUGCCCGCAGCCGCGGUAACAC
rnacentral:rRNA from 1 species